rnacentral:rRNA from 1 species
UCAGCCGCCGCGGUAAUACCAGCAGCCCAAGUGGUGGUCGCGUUUAUUGGGCCUAAAGCGCUCGUAGCCUGGCCGGUAAGUUCCCCGUGAAAUCGGGUCGCCCAACGAUUCGGCUUGCGGGGAAUACUGUCGGUCUUGGGGCCGGGAGACGCCGAGGGUACUCCGGGGGUAGCGGUGAAAUGCUGUAAUCCUCGGGGGACUACCAGUGGCGAAGGCGCUCGGCGAUAACGGGCCUGACGGUGAGGGGCGAAAGCUGGGGGCGCGAACGGGAUUAGAUACCCCGGUAGUCCCAGCCGUAAAGGAUGCGGGCAAGGUGCUCGUCGCUCUUCGAGGGCGUCGGGUGCCGUAGAGAAGUCGUUAAGCCCGCCGCCUGGGGAGUACGGUCGCAAGGCUGAAACUUAAAGGAAUUGGCGGGGGAGCACA